AACAAAACCAAAAAGGGGGAAAAAAAAAAAAGUGGAAUCAGGGCUAAGACAGAAGCCUUUGUCGGUCUGAUGGGGCCGUCCCUCUACUCCUCCCACGGGCUCUUUAAACUGAUUUACCAGGCCCUUUGGACGUGAGCUCUUCUUCCCUUUCAAGGAUAUCUCUCCUACCCUACCCUCCCCAAGUGCCUGACAGUGCUCUGCACAAGGUGGUUACACAAGGACAGCUUGUGGAAUGAAUAAGUAAACGAAUGAAUCAACAAAGAACAAGGUGACUCCACUGUCCAGGCUUCUGCAAAUGCUUACGUGAGGUUGCAUGCAUACUGCCUAUUUCUGUGAGAAGGUCCUGCCCCGUCAUCCUGGCCACAACUGCCUGAGACCCCUAUCACGCUGAGUGAGCUUCAGUCUCAGGAGCUGAGCUAAGAGAUACCAAGAGGUAAGUGGGUCAGUGGAGUUGUGAGGUUCUACAGAGCUGGUUCUACAGAGCUGAGUUUGCACCAUGGCAACUCAAAGGCAUGAAUGCCAAGGCUAUGGAGAUAGGGCUAGCAUGUUGCCCUGUGUGGAGAAGCAGUGAUGUAGAGGCCUUCAGAGGAAUGAGUCCACAUAGAAUAAACCAGAUGCAUAGAUGCUUGGGUGUAAGAGAAAAAGAACAAAGGAGAGAGAGAGGGGGAAAGAGACACAGGAAGAGGGCGAGCAGAAAAGAAGGAAGGUAGGAGACAGAGACAGAACUAGACAUAGAAACAGCCAGAGGCCACUGCAGACACAGAUCAAGAGAUGAACUAUUGAUGACCUCCUAGACACCACAAUGUCUGGCUAUACUUCUUGCAGUUAA